UACGUAGGGGGCAAGCGUUGUCCGGAUUUAUUGGGCGUAAAGAGCGUGUAGGCGGCUUGGUAGGUCUCGCGUCAAAACCUGAGGCUCAACCUCAGUUCGCGUGGGAAACCACCUAGCUAGAGUCCGGAAGAGGAGAACGGAAUUCCCAGUGUAGCGGUGAAAUGCGCAGAUAUUGGGAAGAACACCAGUGGCGAAGGCGGUUCGCUGGGACGGUACUGACGCUGAGACGCGAAAGCGUGGGGAGCGAACAGG
rnacentral:rRNA from 1 species